rnacentral:rRNA from 1 species
UACGUAGGGACCGAGCGUUGUCCGGAUUCAUUGGGCGUAAAGAGCUCGUAGGCGGCUGCUCAAGUCGAAUGUGAAAACUCGAGGCUCAACCUCGAGCCUGCAUUCGAUACUGGGCGGCUAGAGUCUGGUAGGGGGAUCUGGAAUUCCUGGUGUAGCGGUGGAAUGCGCAGAUAUCAGGAGGAACACCGGUGCGAAGGCGGGAUCCUGGGCCAGUACUGACGCUGAGGAGCGAAAGCGUGGGGAGCAAACAGG